rnacentral:rRNA from 1 species
CCUACGGGAGGCAGCAGUGGGGAAUAUUGGACAAUGGGCGAAAGCCUGAUCCAGCCAUGCCGCGUGUGUGAAGAAGGCCUUCGGGUUGUAAAGCACUUUCAGUGGGGAAGAAAGCCUUGGGGCUAAUACCCUCGAGGAAGGACAUCACCCACAGAAGAAGCACCGGCUAACUCCGUGCCAGCAGCCGCGGUAAUACGGAGGGUGCGAGCGUUAAUCGGAAUUACUGGGCGUAAAGCGCGCGUAGGCGGUCUGAUAAGCCGGUUGUGAAAGCCCCGGGCGCAACCUGGGAACGGCAUCCGGAACUGUCAGGCUAGAGUGCAGGAGAGGAAGGUAGAAUUCCCGGUGUAGCGGUGAAAUGCGUAGAGAUCGGGAGGAAUACCAGUGGCGAAGGCGGCCUUCUGGACUGACACUGACGCUGAGGUGCGAAAGCGUGGGUAGCAAACAGGAUUAGAUACCCUUGUAGUC